UACGGGGGGAGCAAGCGUUGUUCGGAUUUACUGGGCGUAAAGGGCGCGUAGGCGGCCACCGCAAGUCAGUUGUGAAAGCUCUGGGCUUAACCCGGAAAGGUCAGCUGAUACUGCGGGGCUAGAGUGCAGAAGGGGCAACUGGAAUUCUCGGUGUAGCGGUGAAAUGCGUAGAUAUCGAGAGGAACACCUGCGGCGAAGGCGGGUUGCUGGGCUGACACUGACGCUGACAGCGCGAAAGCUAGGGGAGCGAACGGG
rnacentral:rRNA from 1 species